AGAGUUUGAUCAUGGCUCAGAUUGAACGNCUGGCGGCAGUGCUUAACACAUGCAAGUCGAGCGGGGGAUGUUGCUUCGGUAACUGACCUAGCGGCGGACGGGUGAGUAAUACUUAGGAACUCUGCCUAUUAAUGGGGGACAACAUCUCGAAAGGGAUGCUAAUACCGCAUACGCCCUACGGGGGAAAGCAGGGGAUCACUUGUGACCUUGUGUUAAUAGAUGAGCCUAAGUCGGAUUAGCUAGUUGGUGGGGUAAAGGCUUACCAAGGUGACGAUCUGUAGCGGGUCUGAGAGGAUGAUCCGCCACACUGGGACUGAGACACGGCCCAGACUCCUACGGGAGGCAGCAGUGGGGAAUAUUGGACAAUGGGGGGAACCCUGAUCCAGCCAUGCCGCGUGUGUGAAGAAGGCCUUAUGGUUGUAAAGCACUUUAAGCGAGGAGGAGGCUCUUCUAGUUAAUACCUAGGAUGAGUGGACGUUACUCGCAGAAUAAGCACCGGCUAACUCUGUGCCAGCAGCCGCGGUAAUACAGAGGGUCCGAGCGUUAAUCGGAUUUACUGGGCGUAAAGCGUGCGUAGGCGGCUUUUUAAGUCGGAUGUGAAAUCCCCGAGCUUAACUUGGGAAUUGCAUUCGAUACUGGGAAGCUAGAGUAUGGGAGAGGAUGGUAGAAUUCCAGGUGUAGCGGUGAAAUGCGUAGAGAUCUGGAGGAAUACCGAUGGCGAAGGCAGCCAUCUGGCCUAAUACUGACGCUGAGGUACGAAAGCAUGGUGAGCAAACAGGAUUAGAUACACUGGUAGUCCAUGCCGUAAACGAUGUCUACUAGCCGUUGGGGCCUUUGAGGCUUUAGUGGCGCAGCUAACGCGAUAAGUAGACACGCCAUGGGGAGUACGGUCGCAAGACUAAAACUCAAAUGAUUGACGGAAGGGCGAAUUCG
rnacentral:rRNA from 1 species